rnacentral:ncRNA from 2 species
CUCUUAUCCGGAGUGGUGGAGGGACUAGCCCAAUGAAGCCCGGCAACCCGCUUGCUGCAUUCAGUAAUAUUGUGUGCGCAAGCAUGGUGCUAAUUCUUGCAGGAGUGAAUUCUUCUGAUAGAUAAGAG